AGGAAUAUUGGUCAAUGGGCGCAGGCCUGAACCAGCCAAGUAGCGUGAAGGAUGACUGCCCUAUGGGUUGUAAACUUCUUUUAUAAAGGAAUAAAGUCGGGUAUGUAUACCCGUUUGCAUGUACUUUAUGAAUAAGGAUCGGCUAACUCCGUGCCAGCAGCCGCGGUAAUACGGAGGAUCCGAGCGUUAUCCGGAUUUAUUGGGUUUAAAGGGAGCGUAGAUGGAUGUUUAAGUCAGUUGUGAAAGUUUGCGGCUCAACCGUAAAAUUGCAGUUGAUACUGGAUAUCUUGAGUGCAGUUGAGGCAGGCGGAAUUCGUGGUGUAGCGGUGAAAUGCUUAGAUAUCACGAAGAACUCCGAUUGCGAAGGCAGCCUGCUAAGCUGCAACUGACAUUGAGGCUCGAAAGUGUGGGUAUCAAACAGGAUUAGAUACCCUGGUAGUCCACACGGUAAACGAUGAAUACUCGCUGUUUGCGAUAUACUGCAAGCGGCCAAGCGAAAGCGUUAAGUAUUCCACCUGGGGAGUACGCCGGCAACGGUGAGACUCAAAGGAAUUGACGGGGGCCCGCACAAGCGGAGGAACAUGUGGUUUAAUUCGAUGAUACGCGAGGAACCUUACCCGGGCUUAAAUUGCAGAUGAAUUACGGUGAAAGCCGUAAGCCGCAAGGCGUCUGUGAAGGUGCUGCAUGGUUGUCGUCAGCUCGUGCCGUGAGGUGUCGGCUUAAGUGCCAUAACGAGCGCAACCCUCGUGUCCAGUUACUAGCAGGUUAUGCUGAGGACUCUGGACAGACUGCCAUCGUAAGAUGUGAGGAAGGUGGGGAUGACGUCAAAUCAGCACGGCCCUUACGUCCGGGGCUACACACGUGUUACAAUGGGGGGUACAGCAGGCAGCUACCGGGCGACCGGAUGCCAAUCCCGAAAGCCUCUCUCAGUUCGGACAGGAGUCUGCAACCCGACUCCACGAAGCUGGAUUCGCUAGUAAUCGCGCAUCAGCCACGGCGCGGUGAAUACGUUCCCG
rnacentral:rRNA from 1 species